UCAGACGAUGCGUCAUGCAUAUCAAUAAGCGGAGGAAAAGAAACUAACAAGGAUUCCCCUAGUAACGGCGAGUGAAGCGGGAAGAGCUCAAAUUUGAAAUCUUAAAGGGUUUCCCUUUACGAAUUGUAGUUUAAAGAAGUGUUUUCUGUUGAGGUCUUUGGUAAAAGUUCUUUGGAAUAGGACAUCAUAGAGGGUGAUGAAUCCCGUAUUUGACCAUUUACUUUUCAAGCUGUGUGAUACACUUUCAAAGAGUCGGAUUGUUUGGGAAUGCAGUCCAAAAUGGGUGGUAAAUUUCAUCUAAAGCUAAAUAUUGGCGAGAGACCGAUAGCGAACAAGUACCGUGAGGGAAAGAUGAAAAGAACUUUGAAAAGAGAGUUAAACAGUACGUGAAAUUGUCAAAAGGGAAGCGUUUGACACCAGUGUUGUUUUUCUGAAAAUCAAUUAAAGAACUGUUUAUGCUAAGUUGUUUAGACUUUAUCAGCUAACUGUUUAGUUUUGAGCUUUUCUUUAAUGCACUUUUCAGUUAACAAGUCAACAUCAAUUUCUUUUGCUGUAAAAAAGCUUGAGGAAGGUGGCUUGAGAUUCGUCUUAAGUGUUUAUAGCCUCUUGCCUAUGCAGUCGGAGAGAUUGAGGUCUGCAGCGUAGAUCCUUCGGGGCUAAAUGCAUUUGUGCUGAGUUAUAGCAUUUUAUAGACAACUUGUUGACUAUGAUUUGUCUUGUAGCUUACUCGCUUAUGUUAUUUUACCUACGCUUAGGAUGUUGAGCGCAUGUCUCUCUCU
rnacentral:rRNA from 1 species